AUACGUAGGUGACAAGCGUUAUCCGGAUUUACUGGGCGUAAAGGGCGUGUAGGCGGUCUUGCAAGUCAGAAGUGAAAUUCCUGAGCUCAACUCGGGCGCUGCUUCUGAAACUGCAGGACUUGAGUGCUGGAGGGGAUAGCGGAAUUCCUAGUGGAGCGGUAAAAUGCGCAGAUAUUAGGAAGAACACCGGUGGCGAAGGCGGCUAGCUGGACAGUAACUGACGCUAAGGCGCGAAAGCGUGGGGAGCAAACAGGAUGAGAUACCCGGGUAGUCCACGCCGUAAACGAUGAAUACUAGGUGUAGGGGGUAUCGACUCCCUCUGUGCCGCAGUUAACACAAUAAGUAUUCCGCCUGGGGAGUACGGCCGCAAGGUUGAAACUCAAAGGAAUUGACGGU
rnacentral:rRNA from 1 species